rnacentral:snRNA from 1 species
GAGAAACACUGUGGUCAGGAAGGUGGUUUCCCCAGGGUGAGCCUUAUCCCUUACACARUGAGUGGGCUGAUCCCUGCAAUGUCUCCCAAGGUAGGAAACCUGA